rnacentral:lncRNA from 1 species
ACGUCACAUUAAAUGUCAUGGAAUUCGUUUAAUUUAAAAAUUAAUGAAACCUUCUCCAACCUCGAUCUGCUCUAGUUCUGCUGCAUCCAGGGCUCCGAUUAAUCCAGGAAUCCCAUCUCCAUGGCUCAGAUCGAUCCGGGAAUCGCAAACACUUCCCCUGUUAAUCAACUCCGGCCUACAUUUUUUCGCCUCCGCCAAUCUUCUUCUACCGUUAUGGGCGGCGGUGAUGGCGGCAGCAGAGGCGAGGAAGGAGAUGGGGGUAACUAGAUGUUUGUUCUAUCUCUCUAUCCUAAUUUCCCAGGUAGAAAAUCCUAAUUUAUAUAUUUUUGCUAUUAAUUCGGCUUGAAUCUGUUCUAUCUCUCAAUCUAUUCGAGUUCGGCUUGAAUCGAUUUGUUAUGUUAUGUUAGGGAUGGUUGAUUACGAUGAGACCGUGCUCGUUGAGAAGUCCAGGUGUCAGCGAGGUUCAGGACGGCGAGGCAGUUUAGAUUUCCGAUUUGGGGAGGGAUCUAGCCUGGGAUGGAGUUUCCGACGAAGUCGAGGACGCGGAGAAUGGUGAGGGAGGAGAGGAGAAGCAGACCGGGAUUGGACCGGAGACGGAUGAAGAAUCAUGCUGGAAGAAGAUGAAGAAAAUGUUGUUCGAGCAAAAGGAAAGAAAUUCUCUGAUUAUUUUAUUUAUUGGGGAAAAAAUAUCUUAUUUCUUUAUUAUUUUACUUUGAUUUGCUAAUGUAGCAUUUAAGGAUGACACGUCAGAUCGUAUAUCAACAUUGUGCUUUGUAUUUCUUACUUUAAAAGGAAAAUUAAAUGACGUUAAAAGGCAGAUUUAGAAUUCAAAAUAUUUU